AUCCCAUGAUGAGGACACUAACGAAGUAACUACUUGAAUCGCUCCCAAGACUUAUACAAAGACUCGUCAUCCAAUUGCGGGAAAGUUGUGAUCUCGUUUCUCAACUC
rfam:Gossypium arboreum cultivar AKA8401 contig_78787_1, whole genome shotgun sequence.